ACGGGGUGCAGCAGGCGCGAAAACUCCGCAAUGCGCGCAAGCGUGACGGGGGGAUCCCAAGUGCCGUUGGUCUUUUGAUCGACGGCUUUUCGGAAGUCUAAGAAGCUUCCGGAAUAAGGGCUGGGUAAGACUGGUGCCAGCCGCCGCGGUAACACCAGCAGCCCAAGUGGUGACCACGAUUAUUGGGCCUAAAGCGCUCGUAGCCGGGUCAGCAAGUCCCUUGUGAAAUCGGGCCGCCUAACGGUUCGGCGUGCAAGGGGUACUGUUGGUCUUGAGGCCGGGAGAGGUCGGAGGUACUCCUGGGGUAGCGGUGAAAUGCUCUAAUCCUGGGGGGACCACCAGUGGCGAAGGCGUCCGACCAGAACGGACCUGACGGUGAGGGGCGAAGGCUAGGGGAGCGAACGGGAUUAGAUACCCCGGUAGUCCUAGCUGUAAAGCAUGCGGGCCAGGUGUCUAGUGCUCCUCGAGGGCACUAGGUGCCGGAGGGAAGCCGUUA
rnacentral:rRNA from 1 species